UGGUACAUCAAUGUACCGCCUCACAACCCGCAAAUCCAAUUUGUGAACAUUUGGUUGUGUCUGUCCUUGGCAAUGGUUUGGACACAAAAUAACAAAAAGUUGCACAGAAGAAAUAUAGACAAAUGAAUAACACUAUAAUAAGUCUCCACAUAUGGUAGUUGAUAGUUUAUUAAAGGAACAAAACUUUAACUUCUUCCAAUGAUUACUUUGUUUCUCUUCUCUCUCUUUCUCUUUCUCCAUUUUAGUUGUUUUUGGAAGGAUUAGGAUUAUCAAAUGGAAUAAUUAACUGAAAGGUAAUUAACCGAAAAUGUUAAUUAACUGAAAGUUUUAAAUUUCUGUCUUUAAUUUCUUCUAAAAACCCAACAUAAAUGAGAUUUAUCUAUCCAAUUUGCAUUCCUUUUGUUCAUUUCAUUAAACGUGCAGUUUAAAAUCGUUCUUCCUGUUUUAUUUUGGUAGACUUCUCAAUGACAGUUCGGUAAACCAGGAGAGAGGAUAAUGCAGGGAAGUAUGACCAAAACGAGGGAAUAAAAUUUGCAGGGAAUAAACAGUGACAGCCUUUGUGGCAAAGAUAACUCAGAGUCUUGUAACAGUGCUAGGAUUUCAGUGUGCUAUAAAAAAGACAUCGCCCAAAACAAUGACGACAACAGGUCUAAAAUUUGCAAUUGGCAAUUUUAAAAUUUUAAACUGAUUGUGAAGAGAUACUUGUCUCAUUCCUCUUUGUAAGAGUGGUAUUGCAAAAUUGCCACAAUAGUCUGGGUUAAUAAGUCAUACUGUCCUUCAUCCAUCUUCUACACAAGUUGAAUCUGCGCGCAGCUGGUGAGGGUUCAAAAUCGCCCAAGAUCCAUAGGUCUACCUCCCUCGAGGACAGCUCGUAACGGACUCCUGGGGUGAGAAGAGACUACUUGUGAGAUUGUGGGGGGGAUGGUGUUAUACAGCAUUUCCAUCAGAAGAGGGUACAAUAUUGAAGAACACGAAAGAUACCGUAGGGUAAAGAUAAAUAUAAAGAAAGAAUAAAUAAAUAAAUUGAUGAAUGAAUAAUGGCAAUGACUAUCAUGUCUGGGAGACUGAAGAUACUCAGAGUGACUGCAGAAUAACAACAUGGGAAGAGGUCAUAGUGAACCUUUGACUGACAAGUCUGAUAUAAUGAGAUGUACAAAUUGCAUCCUCAUGAAGUACUAAUGGGGAGUACCUUUGAACACUCCACAAAACCACUCUGCUUUUGACUGAUGAAUACGUGACUGAGCAUGUUGACUAAUGGAACUAAUACUAACAGAAAGAGGUCAAAUAGGCUCCCAAAAUGGGGUGGUGAUGUUGUAUUAAUCAAAUCUCCCUCAGUCUCCUCUUCUAGGCAGAAAGACCAUUCCAGGUGCUGCUGACAACAGUAUCAGUAUCAGCAGUAAAGGGCAGGGAGAAAGCAACCCUGGUCAAUGUCAGUCACUGCUGGCAGAGGCUAGAGCCAGAAGAGAGAUUUCCACACACCACAACAGACCGGAGCUGAGAAGUUACACCCAGCCAAGCCCAAGCCUGGGUAAACUCCACCAUCCCCAAAUUGAAUUGUGCCAAAUUCUGAGAAAGAAAACAUUGUGUGGAAGGAGGGCUGCUGUUGCACUAGCUCACAGCCACGGGUGAUGAAACUUCCAUCAGCGCUGCUGCAGACUGUUUACCAGUGGGGCAUGAGACUUGUGACAGAUAAGUUUCUGUGCCCAUUCGCAGGAGAGUUUCGUUUCAGAUCUGCAGUGUAAGUGGAAGACUGAGGGGUCAAUACACAUUGAAAGUUCUUAUCUGUCACACAUAAAACCAAGUUAUCAAGACGGAAGAGGGGUCACAGUAAUUAGCCACACAUUUGAAUACAAUGGUUCAGCAAGCAUAGACGUGUGUCUCCAUAGGUGUGUGACCAUAUUGCAUGUUACAGCAAAUAACCCAGAACAAACCAUUCAAAGUAGAAAGUGGGAAAUAAUUUAGGUCAAGGUGGAGUAUAUUACUGUCUUGACCAAUCCCCUGUGAUUGUUACAGAAUUAUCCAAUAGGGCAGCAGAGCUGGGAGACUAGCUACACCAGACAACUACACUCUGUACUUGAGAGAAAACUAGUUUGACACUUGGGUGAGUGUGGGUUGUAGCCCUGAAAUCACUUUAUGUGUGCUCUUUUUAAUCACCAGGCUGAUAGUAACACCACUGUUGUGGUUAUAUAUGCACCUGAAGAGUAGCACUACUGCUAUUUGAGCCACUCAGCAGAUUGGUAAGCAUUGUUGAUAAUAAUGGAUAAUGAAAUCGGACUUGAUGAAUGAUGACCUCUGAGGAUCUGAAGAUUGGGUUCCACCGGGUAACAUCUUUAAUGAAAGUGUUUAAAAACCAUGACAUGUUGAAAAAAACCCUGAUAAGUGUAUCCUUACCUUUUUGAACUAAGAGGCCACCCAAUUUUACUGUUAUCAGCCUAUUAAAUAGGCGUUAUCAGCACACAUCAGUCCCAAAUAUAUGGGCUAGUAGGGGCCUACCAACCUACUAGUAGGUUCAGGAGGCUGUUAUCACCCGUUUAUUUCAGUGAGCCAAUGUUAGUUGAGCCCAGUAGGCACAGAAGGCCUGGUAUCAAGCAUGUGCUUUGAAGUCCAUUAUCAACUUUUCUUCAAUAUUUUAUUGUCUGUGAAUGACUCAUCACAGAUCUUGUCGGUUUUUUAAAUGUUUACGGAAACAUAUACUUAUGUUCUGUAAAAAUAUGUUUAUGUUCUGUAAAUGGAAAGUUUUUAAAAAAUAAGUAAAAAAAAGAAAAAGAAACAUUCACAGUCAUCUGGGUGCAGACGCUUUCUCUUUGUCUCUCUCACUCCCCAUCAAUCCCAAAUUAAACAGAUAAUAGAAUAUAUAACCUUUUAAUAUUAAUGUUUUAAGUGAUUUCUUUUUAUCUGAACAAAAGGCUGUCAGAUCAUUUUGACUUGACUGUCACAUAUUAAUUUACUUUGGUUGCUAAGCAACUGGUAAGUGACGCAUAUACCUGUGCGCAGCACGUGAAAAGAAUGGGAAGCCAAAUAUUUUUCCCAGGAUGGCGAAGUCAUGACCCGCCCUAUUCUGCCUCUGAUUGGCUAGUACUUGUUGCCUUCGUUGGUUGGGUUGGUUAGGUUUAGGUGAAGUGAAAUUGGUUAAGGGUUAGGGUAAGAAUAUCAGGGUAAGCCAACAACAGGAAGGACCAUCAGUCAUGGAUGACAGCAGGUGAGUAACACAGUGCUAGCUGUCAGUUACUUAAAAAAACAAAAUGUUAACAACAAAACAAAAGCAGCAGUUGCAAACUUUGGAUAAAUAUUAUUUCUCUUAUUUUUGAUAGAUAUUAGAAAGGUGUUUCUGUAUCUUUCCUUCCCAUGGCUAAUAACUUUACCAAGUAAGUUGAAGUAACGUUAGCUAAAGUUAAUACCUAAUGCUUGCUAAGUGCUACUAAGUAAUAUGCCAUUGCAUAGUCUUGUCUGCCUAACCAAAAAAAGAUCUACCUUAGCCAGCGAUUCACCAUACCUUACUAUUCCUGAUUUUGAACUCCAGAAUAAUGCACUACUGUAAUGCAGUAAUGAGACCAUGUGACUACAAUUAAUGUUCUGUUUCUUAUUUAAAUAGGUGAAUAUGGCAAAAACAAAAAAAAUCAGACCUUACGUUACUGUAAAAAAAAUUCCAGUGAGAGGAAGGACAACAGUGGCCCGAAACUAUUUAAGAGGAGGGAUCCCCUUGACCAAGACGCCAACAGAGAUAAGCUGCUGCUCGUUUUCACAAGCAGCCAAUAGUGACUUCCGCCAAGAAAAAGAACCCUUCAUUAACACCAGUAAAAAGAAGAAUGACACCGAGGAGGUAUGGCAAAGCACAAGGGAAAUACUCUUCAGUGUGAGUGCUGAGCUCCUUUGUCCUCCAGACGACACAGCCUGUACAGUUUGCAGUAUUUCCCUCACUGAUGAUAAAAGAGAUCUGGUGAUGCAGCGACUGCGGAAGUGAAACAUACUUAUGUUCUGUCUGUGUCCAAGCACUGCUGUGGUGCAUGCUCUAGAAAAAUGAGAGGUUUGUAUCACUCAUUAUUUUCUCCUUUAGGUGAUGAUGAUGAUGACUGUCAACCUGUCUCAUGAUGUCGGUACGAAUCACCAUUGUAUGAAUUGAAUUUCAUCAGAGAAUUCCAGUGGGCUUCAGAUGGAAUUGGUCAAGGAAGGAUGGCCACCGAUGUGAAACGUCCUACGUCAAACAAAAGUAUUUGACUAUCAAGGAAGGCCUCAUGAUGUUUGGAUCCAAUUUUGCAAGUGUGAAAUGGAAAUUGCAACAUUACUACGUUACAACCUUUGGCCAGCAACAGUUAAGCAACCCCAAAGUGCCAUUUCUAUCAAGCUCAUGGACACGAUCUGCCAGUUGCAGCUUGAAUGUGGUGCAUCACCGAAGGCUUUGUGUGCAUCAUUUCAGCAUUCCUCUGUCUUCCAAGUGCCAACAACCUCUAUGACAUUCUCAUCAAUGAGUGCUAUGAGGAAUACAGAUACAGGUUAUCUACAGUGCGUGUGCCUGAGAGAACUGAUGGGACACACUGUCCUCUUUGUCCACAGAUGGAGGAAGUCUGGUUCUUGCUGCGGACGGACUGUUUGGACUUCCGAGGAAGAAGUCAUCUGGGAGUAGUUUUGAAGGACCGAAGCACUUCAACGGCUUCUUUUCCCUACAAGAUGAUGUUGAUGCUUUCAUUAGAGAACAGCAACAUUCACCUGAGGAGCUUUUACAGGGUUGUACCAGCUUUCAAGCAGAAAGCAGAAGUGCCCUCAGGUGAAAGGUCAAAAACUCCAAAUUGAGUGAAACUGGAGUUGGAAUAUCCUGUAAGCAUGAACAUCCACAGCGCUUUCUGAGUUUGAAGAGAGGCGAGAGCCUUUCAAAUGCUGUCUACCUGCUCAAGGAAUUGCAAGAAGAUCUGGGAAAAAAACAAAAAACUUGUCUUCAUGUACAACAUUGCAUGCAAAUUAAAACCUCAUUUGCAGAAGUUUUACUCAGAUCUUCUGACUAAAACAACAUAUGCUGUACCUGCAUUCAAUGCUUAUGGGCACAAUGUUGUUUGUCAGGUUAUCAUCAUUUUGUUUUGACACUGUUAUUAACUCUAUUGCAAUUUGUCACAGACAGUAUAAAAAAUAGAAUAAAUAUUUCCUUUUGAUUUUGUUUCAAUGUUUUGUAGAUUUCCUACAGUUGUAGGAAUGUUCAGGGUACAGGCCUUGCUGAUGGGGAACAGUUGGAACGACUCUGGUAAAAUUGUAAAAUUUAGUAAAAUUGUUUCAA